rnacentral:rRNA from 1 species
GAGCUUGCUCUGGUGGCGAGUGGCGAACGGGUGAGUAAUAUAUCGGAACGUACCCUAGAGUGGGGGAUAACGUAGCGAAAGUUACGCUAAUACCGCAUACGAUCUAAGGAUGAAAGUGGGGGAUCGCAAGACCUCAUGCUCGUGGAGCGGCCGAUAUCUGAUUAGCUAGUUGGUAGGGUAAAAGCCUACCAAGGCAUCAAUCAGUAGCUGGUCUGAGAGGACGACCAGCCACACUGGAACUGAGACACGGUCCAGACUCCUACGGGAGGCAGCAGUGGGGAAUUUUGGACAAUGGGCGAAAGCCUGAUCCAGCAAUGCCGCGUGAGUGAAGAAGGCCUUCGGGUUGUAAAGCUCUUUUGUCAGGGAAGAAACGGUGAAAGCUAAUAUCUUUUGCUAAUGACGGUACCUGAAGAAUAAGCACCGGCUAACUACGUGCCAGCAGCCGCGGUAAUACGUAGGGCGCAAGCGUUAAUCGGAAUUACUGGGCGUAAAGCGUGCGCAGGCGGUUUUGUAAGUCUGAUGUGAAAUCCCCGGGCUCAACCUGGGAAUUGCAUUGGAGACUGCAAGGCUAGAAUCUGGCAGAGGGGGGUAGAAUUCCACGUGUAGCAGUGAAAUGCGUAGAUAUGUGGAGGAACACCGAUGGCGGAGGCAGCCCCCUGGGUCAAGAUUGACGCUCAUGCACGAAAGCGUGGGGAGCAAACAGGAUUAGAUACCCUGGUAGUCCACGCCCUAAACGAUGUCUACUAGUUGUCGGGUCUUAAUUGACUUGGUAACGCAGCUAACGCGUGAAGUAGACCGCCUGGGGAGUACGGUCGCAAGAUUAAAACUCAAAGGAAUUGACG